ensembl:lncRNA
AGGGCUGUCAACAGCUUUGCACUGUUUUAUGGGCUUAUGGCUUAGGGCACUCACUGAUCACAUUUCUGUUUAUCAUCUAGUUAAGUUUCUGGGUGUAUAAGGAAGUAUCAUAAUUAAUUCCUAAUGCCGUUAAGAUCAGAGACAAAAAUCCUUUUGUGUGCUUAUUUGUGGGUUGGGCCCUGCUUACGCUGAUGAAAAUAAACUGAGUGCAGAGGAGCACUUGUUUCUACAUACUCCUGGUUGCUGGGUAUAACUUAAAAAUAUGUGCAUCCUUGAAUGUGAAAUUCAACUAUGCUCAGGUUGCAGUAGGAACUGCAAGUGUCUGAAGCUGGAGGAUAAGAAUUUAUUCACAAAGCUGUGUUGUCCUUUCCUGGCAGCCUUCAUAUUUUCUUCUUAUCUGUGGUACGCUGGCAGUUAGUGAAAAGGAAAGGAACAAAUCAAGACUUGAGCCAUGGACAACCUCUUGAUAUUUUCUAUUCCUCUGAGCCUGGGAAUUUUGCCAAUCCCAUCUCUGGCCCGACUGGAAAGGAAGGAAAAAUAAUAGCAAACCUUUACAGCCGUGUGCUGACAAUGAGGAGCCAGCUAGCCUUAGUCUUGGAGAGAUCUACUGGUGGUGCUUCUACCACCCACCGUGGCAGAUUUAUUUUCCAGUGAAAGGUCUACAGGCUUCUACAAUUCUGCAAAAUGUUCAGCUAUAUCUGUUUCUGAAGCAGAAGAAUAAAUGGUCCUCUUGAAAACAUAGGAUGUGAUUGUAUACAAGAGUAAUAUGUUAUAAUGAACUGAUGAACCAUCUGGGCACAUGACUUGAAAUUUCAGUGAGAAGAGAGAAAAAAAUGCUUUACUAAGUAUUUCAGGACUGAAGCAGACUUUUCAGAAGCAAGGAUUCAGAUCUGUAUUUCUUUAAAGGACAGCUGAACAUCCAUCAUGAAGACAUUCAUCAGGCAUUCCACCACUUUGUAUCCCUGCUUCAGAUGAAAUUAGCCAGCACUGGCUCCUGGCAUGCAUCUAAUCUGGACAUUACCUGCAGAUUGUUGAGCUGCUCACUGAGUUACCAGGUUCAUCUGCUCCUGCUCUCAGACCCUGGCUUGUGCAGCCAGAGAGCAUGUGGGAGUCUGCACAGGCAGGAGCUGUGCUGCAGCAGUUUGAGGUGAGGGAGACUUGAGUGAGAGCAGCAGAUCAGUGCCAGGAUUGUGCCUUAUAUGGCUGCUCGACGCCUGCAGUGCAUCUCUUGGUAUACAGCUUAUGGUAAAAGCCUUCAGGUUCUGUGUUCUUCCACAGCUGUAUAUCAACUGCUGUUUCUUGAGCUUUGCACACUGAGCUGUGCUGAGCGUGGGCCAAAAAGAAGUUGGUUGCUGGGAGUCACAGCUAUUGAACAGCCAGCCCUCAGACAUGCAAAAUGCUGCCAAAAUCCCUCCUGCGUCAGCGACUGCCUGAGGUGGCCAGUGCUAGCCAGGAGGCCUCCUCCAGUGGCUGGCUGCACGUCCCCAUGCAGGUGGCCAGUCUCUGCCAUUCCGGAGCAAGGAGGGCAGAGUGCUCACAAGAUGUGGUUCCCCAUGGAGAUAACAUGUUGCCAAGGUCAGGCUGCAUCUUAUAUCAGGCCCCUUGCAUCAGAUCACUUUGACUGAGAACAUGCUCCUGUUUGCAGGGAGAAAAUGUAAUCUGUAUCUGGACUGUGGUUAACGCUGAGCGCCAGGCUGUGAAUGCUGCCGGUGUACUGUUUGCUUUAAACACCACCUAUUUUUGUCUUCAGGGCUCCUUUUUUAACCUUUCCAGAAAAUGCUGCUGUUGGCCACUAUCCACUACUCUGCUUCUUUGGGGGCUCACCUAUAGUGAAUCACUCUCAGAGAAUGGCCCUGUGUUUAACUGCUGGACGCUGCUUUUCUGCAAGAAAGGAUUUGUAAGCUGCAAGUAUUUGCAGCUCUCCAAACCCACAAAAAUAAUGUUUGUCAGUGCUCUAGAGAUCAAUGUUUAAACCGGUCUAGUGCAAUCAGAAGGAUGUUUUGAUUUAUUAGUAAUGCAUUUUAAAAGCAAACAAAUUAGUUUAUAGAUACUUAUAUAAUUACACUCACACACACACACACAUAUAUAUACAUAUAUGAGAGACAAUUAGAGAUGUAAAUAUGUUAGGCAACUUUGGUAUAAUUAAGUUAUGUCUUUGAAAAAAUUCGUCAUACAGUUGUGAUUGCAUGAGGUUCUCAUUGAAGAUUACUAUAAGCAGACAUUUUUAUAAAUAAUAUUUGAGGCCUCAAAUAAAACUUCUUUGUUUCCUGCCUCAAGCAUCUGCCAAAAUAUUUUUGAUUCUUGGGAGACUUGAAAAGUGGAAAGUUUUCUCCAGCCCUUUGGUUGUACUGCUACCAGACUGUGCAGUUGGAUUUGUUGCUUCUUGGUUCUCAAUCAUAUCUGAACCAUGUGCUUCCUUCUCAUCCAUUCUUGAGCCCUGCUCGUGCCAUGAACAGUGGGUGUUCGUACAUUUUUGUUACUACUGUAAGUUCUGCUAUAAAUUGUCCCUUGAAAAUAUCAGUGCUGUCUCAACAUUGCUUUUAUUGCACAGUAGAGCCUGAGCUGUUUUUGUUUGCAGCCCCCAAGAUCUUUUGAUGCAGAUAGUGCAGUUUCUAGCCUUUCUGUGCUUGUUAAAACAUAAAUAUAUGUGUGUUAUGGGAACAUCUUAAGGAAAAAAAAGGCUGUUGAGUGAUACAUCCAGAAAUGAAGCCACCUAGGGUUAUGUAAUGAGCAUCAAGGCUUGCGUGCUCGUGGCCAGCUACUUGGACUUUGAAGUUGGGGUAACAAAGCAAUGAAAGUAUGCUCAAAUUAGUUGUUAAAUUGUUAAGCUAAAAGGAGAUUAAUUAAAACAUCAUAAAACACUGUUCUUGAAAAGGAAAUGGAGAAGGCACUGACUUCUUGUUUUUACAGCAGAUUUAGUACAGUGAGUUAGUGAUGAAGAGUUAUGACCACAGCAAAUUCCUGGAGGGAAGAGUCUUUAAACAUAACAACAACAAAACAACAGAAACAAGGGAUUUCCGAGUAUGCAUUUUACAGUAGCCUUCAGAGGUUUAUAGUCACGUCUAAAUCAGAUGCUAGCAAAAACUUGCUAAAUAUAAUAUGCGUGAACAUAUAGGCUUGUCUGGAAAUUCUUCAAGAAAAAUGGAUGCUCUGUGGGGUGAAAUGCAUCAUCACUGUGUCUAUUCACUUUUAAUAUUUUUUUUACUUCUGAGGGAAUAUAACGAUGCUUUAGUAAGUGCUCUUCUAAAACACUGUGUGAUAUUCUCUAGCUAGAGGUGGGAUGGGCUGCUGUAACAAGUAGGAAGCAUCUAAAAUCAAGUUAUAAUCAAAAAUGCUUCUUUUGUGUUUGACUUGCUGCUGUCUUCCAUUCUGCAGAAUGAAAGCAAUUUUAUGCAGUAUCUCCACUUCUAAGUUAUUGCAGGGGAGGCUUAGGUAAAUCGCAGUGUAGGACUUACUCUUUAUUAACAGCAAUUUUAAAAGUACUUUGCCCAGUGUGAUAAAUUAUGUGUCUCUGCAGAGGCACUGUGGAGUAGAGUAGAAACAGUGGUAUAAAGCCACUCCAGCAAUUCUGACUUUCUUUUCUGUUUUAUAACAUUUGUGAUAAUUAAUUGCAGACUGUAUAUAAAAUAAUGUAUAAAAGGAUAAGUGAAAUCUCCAUCUAUCCCAAAGCUGAGCUGUAGUUGUAGUUGCACUGCAGGCGCAACUGAUUAUGCUCAAUGCCAAACUGUUUUGAUUCUGUUUGUUGUACCCCCAGAAGGGUGCAAAGAAACAGAAAAUAGGGUGAAGGCAGCUGUUUCAGGCUAUCUGCACACUGCUUAUAAGAGACAAACUUCUGCUCUGCCAGAAAAAAAUCAGCUGCUGGAAUUAUUUUAAUCUCUUGUGCUGAACUUUUACACUUUAUUUUGAAUUUUCCACUGUUGCUGCCUUGAAUAUGGCAUAUAUUUCACAUUUCUUGUCCCUGUUUGCUCUCUCUGCGUGUCCAGCCAACUUAUGCCUAAUUCCAUGUCUCUCUCAGCAGCUUUCAAAGAGAUGGUGAGAAAUGACUUGAUGCAGUUUAGAGGCUGUAAAAAUUUUUUAUUCACUGAUUCUCAUAGAUUGUUCUGAGAGCUCUGGCCAAUGGGUGAUAUGGAAACACCUAGAAUUUAUAGAUUAUUAUUCUUAGCAGAUUUUUGGAAUAUGAAUAUCCUUUUUAAAAUAAACUCACAGCUAUGCACAUAUGCCAUUAGAGUAGAACAGAGCAAGAUAACCUUGCGCUGAGUCUCUGUGUCACCCUGCUCUUACAUGUAAAUUCUCUUGUUAUAAUCAGUUGCUUCUCACAGCCAUCAUGAGGAUUCAUUUUUUGAUGGCAUUCACCAAUAAGUGUUAUUUAUGUGUGAUACCCCAAGAAAAAGUAAUCUCAUCCUUUCUGAAUCUCUUGGCUUUCCUCUGGUGUGAGUUUAGCAAUUGCAAGUGACAUUCGAAGUUUAUAGAACAGUUCUUGGUUUUACAGGAACAAAACGUCAUGGAAACACCACCUCUCGACUCCAUCCCCGGUAGCAAUAGUAAAUAUUUGAUCAGUGUGUACUUUCCAUUCAGCUCAGCAUCUCUGGGCUGACUUUUUGGAGAAGUCUUACAUUUGCAUUAGUAUGAUCACACAGUGACAAAGUGGACCUUCCCAAAGUACUUCAGUGAGCUGCUGUAGAAAAAAAAAUGCAGGGAAGACAUGGAAAGACUUGAAUAAGAUGAAACCAUGAGGUCUUCUUGUCUCUAUAUAUCUUUAAGGUGGAUAACAAAGUGGGGCAAGUCAUCCUUGCUUUGUCUGAUUUUUCCUCUGGAUUUGUACUGGUCUUCUUAGGAAAGUUACAGAAGUACCAUGUUCUGAAUCUUGCUGUUCUUUAUGAUUUAAAAUCAUUCUGUCUUAGGAGUAAUCAAACCUAUGGCUCGUAAGCAAUUUGUUGCUCCCAUAUUGGCAUCUGAGUAGCAAAGGCACCCCAACGGGCGACUGUGAGUUUUGCAGCUCCUCAGCUGUGAAGUGCAGCACAGCAGGAGCCACUGGGCUUGAUUGACAUUGCUCAUUUGCUCUUUAACACAGCUGCCUGCCAAUUUUACCAGGAAACGUCUCUGAAUCUUAACAGCUCUAGUUGCUGUGUGCCUGUGGUAUACUCUGGGAUUUCCUUUGCUAGCUCUUGUUCCUGAAUAAUACAGGUAUGUGCCUUGUGGCCAAAAUCUGUUUGGUUCAUGACCUCUGGUUGGGAAUUCUGGUGCAUCUCGAGGGGCUGUAAGGUUGUAUGCUUGUGCUUUAAAAGCUGUAGAUGGAGGAGAAUGGGAAGGGGGGAAAAAGACUGAAGAGCCUUAAUGCCAAUUCAGCCCUGCUGGGGAAGGGCUUCUUUAGGGAUUCUGCAUAGUAUUCUUGCCAGGGAGCUGAAGGAAACCAAAGUAUAGCUGAGAAUUAAGCUGGUUGCUUUUCACCCCAAAUAUGGACAAAAACUAUACAGGAGCAGCUAUAUAAUGUACUAUUUUCUCAGAGGAAUAGAAAAAGACUUAUUCUUUUAAAUCUGUGCAGAGAAACUGCAUUCCAGAGAAAAAAGCACUGAUAACAAUCCACUAUAAAACCAAGAUUAGAGUCCAGACAAAGAGGACUGGCUUUUGUUCUCUAAAUGAGAAAUUACCCCACACAACCCAUUCAAUAGAGCAUCUGACCAGGUAAUUAGAGUCCAAAUUUCAUUUUUCAAGGUUUUGUCCUGUAUUACUCACUCUUUGUUGUUUAUUGCGCAAAUUCAGGCAUUCAGUGAUAAACUGUUUGCUCUGUGGCCUUGCUGUGGUACAUGGAAAACUUUCCAUGACUGUAUUGCUGAGGAACAGAAAUAGCUAGGCAUGUUCCAGGCAGCUUUUGGAACUCAGUCUGGAUCCUGAUGAAAAGAGGGAUUAUUCAGAGUCUCAUCAAUAUCCCGUACAACUUGUUUGUUUCUCUUGAAAUCUGUUAUGUGGAAGAGUGUGAAGUGCUGGGAAGAGAUUUUAUUUCAUAUCCUCCUGGUAGCUUUUAGAGACAUACGCUGCCAUGCAGUUCAUGAACAAACUUUCUUCCAGGGUUAUGCAGGGGAAUGAAUUUGUUUAUUUUAUUACUACUUAUUAUUAAUUCUUUUACUUCAGUUGCACUGUAUUGGAGGAUAAAGCCAUCAUCUUUAUUUUUUCAAGCAGUAAAAUUAUGACUUUAUAUUAACCCUAUGUUAACAUAUUGGGAAAUGUAGCAUUUAACAAUUUUUCCUUCUGGUGUUUUCUAUAUGCAAAACUCUCUCUCAGUACAUAGUGAGUUCUGGUGCUGAUAAUUCAGGUACAGAGAGUCAAGAGGAAAAAGCUGGCUAUUUUUUUCUGUUUCAACUUGUCUGUUGAAAUCAGAGCUGAAUUAAUUCCCCCUUUUUCUGCCCAAGAUUUCUUAGGUGACCACUUGUGAGCCUCCUGACUGCUUCAUAUUCCUUUUACUUCUUUUAAGAAGACCUUCAAUUCCCCCAUCUCCAUCUUCUUUUUGUUUCCCCGCAACAUAAACAAUAGGACUAAAAGAAGUGGCUACAGCAUGUGGAUAUUGAGGUGUAUCAGAUUUACCUGAGACUGUAUCAGGUUACUCCUUGUUCUCCAGGCACCUACAGUUGGCACUAAAAAACUGGUCUUGUGACUCUUAUCUUCAAGAAAUAGUGCUUUGUGGUUUAUAUGCCAAGUGUUAGAGAGUUCAUUGCUUAACUUUUAUUUCUCCUGAUCAUAACAAAAUUUCUCAGAUAGUGUUUUGCAGCUUAACAGUGUUUAAUAAUCUUUCUGGUUAAGCAGAUUAAUCCUAGUUGGAUUUACUAAUCUGGGGAGGAAAAUCUGCCAAAGAUGCAUAGCAGAGUAUUUCCUAACUUCUUUUGUGUGAAGACUGUGAUUAUUUCUUUUCUCCUCCACAGACACAUCUUGAGUGAGCUCUGAGAAAAUACUAAUCUCUUAAAUGAACUGUAGUUAGCUGAAGGGAUUGAGGGAAACCAAAUCAUUCUGUGGUUGACAAGGGGACAUGGGAUUUUGUAUGGAUGUAAAUCUGCUGCUGGAUUUGGGCUUCCACAUUAACUGGAUGCUAGUUCUACUAAUAGAGUCAUUGUCCCUAUUAGCAGUUUCAAUUAGUGGUUUCGUUGUAGAAGACAAUAUUUAGACAACUGAUGCUAGACAGACUAAACUUCCUUUUCCACUGAAGUACUUGUAGGAAGUGGUACUUCUGAAGUGUGUGCCCUUUUGUUCAAGUUUAUCCAUCUUCUGGAAGACCUGGAGGCUUGAGGCCCUAGGUCUAUCCAAACCACUUCAGCAUCGUUCUUCUACCACUAUUCUUGUCAGUAAACUAGUAGAGCUGCAAGGAUGUUGAAAUCCAUUGGUCAAACAGCAAAAGCUUGAAUGUAAGAUUUCUUGAUAAAGGUUCUCUUCCACGCACCUGUUUGCGUGGUAUUGUUGUUUGCCUUAAUGAUAAAAUCUUUUAAACACAGUAUAUAUUUUAGAAGAUCCUCUCCUCAUGUAUCCUGGAUCUCUUGCUUGAUCUUAAGUUCAUAAAUCGUGCUCUGCCACAAGCUGUUACCACCUGUGUCACAUCUCCUUCCUGAUCCAUGCUUUCCUGUCAUCAAAAUUGUAACAUUUUGGUAUUUCAUGUACUUCCAUAGCUUGUAAAGAAUCCAUGGCAUGGCAGCAUGGCAAAGUAACCCUGCCUCCAGGGUAGACAGUACUGUGCCACAGCUUUUCGUACUUUUUCCAUGCGCAGCACCAUCGCAGCUAGAGUUUUCAUGAGAAACCUUAUCUAGAUUAACAUCAAAUCCUAUUCACAAUGAACCACAGAAAGCAGAACCCUAAGCUAAAUACACUUAGGAAGAAAAAUACUUCAGCGCUUCACAGCUUUUUGAAUUGGAAACUUGGAGAUCUUGUUAUGAUGGAUUCAAGAUUUCCAGCUGUGACACCGUGACCUGCUGUUUCAUUUCGGUGAUAUCACUUCAUAGGAUAUAAGCAACUUAAAGUUUCCCAGGACAUCAUAAUGCUGUUGAAUAAACAAAUAAACUAGGUCUUACAUUGCAACUCUGGACUCAGAUCGGUUAAAACAGAUCAGUUAAAAUGCUUCUGAAUGUGUACAUCUCCUGGCGUGCUCAGGUUCUGUGAGCCACUCAGUUUGGUAUGGGAAAACAUCAGGACACUUCUGAGGUACCUUCCUCCUAAUUCAUACUAGAAGACUGAAGAAGGCCCCAUGUGAUUGUUCAAAUGUAAUAGUGAAGUUUAAGGCAGAUUUGGGGAAACUGGGGAAAGAUGUGUUGGGGGAU